rnacentral:tRNA from 1 species
GUCCUCAUAGUUCAAAGGAUAGAACCGCGGUUUCCUAAACCGUUAAUCUCAGUUCGAGUCUGGGUGGGGGCGCCA